CACCGCGGUUAUACGAGGGGCCCAAGUUGAUGGACUACGGCGUAAAGCGUGGUUAGGGAAAAUCUUAAACUAAAGCCGAAGGCUCAUCAGGGCUGUUAUACGCACACGAGAGUAUGAAGAACAACAACGAAAGUGGCUUUACCCCUCCUGACCCCACGAAAGCUAAGAAA
rnacentral:rRNA from 1 species